rnacentral:rRNA from 1 species
GGGCGUAAGAGCUCGUAGGCGGUUUGUCACGUCUGCUGUGAAAACCCGAGGCUCAACCUCGGGCCUGCAGUGGGUACGGGCAGACUAGAGUGCGGUAGGGGAGAUUGGAAUUCCUGGUGUAGCGGUGGAAUGCGCAGAUAUCAGGAGGAACACCGAUGGCGAAGGCAGAUCUCUGGGCCGUAACUGACGCUGAGGAGCGAAAGGGUGGGGAGCAAACAGGCUUAGAUACCCUGGUAGUCCACCCCGUAAACGUUGGGAACUAGUUGUGGGGUCCAUUCCACGGAUUCCGUGACGCAGCUAACGCAUUAAGUUCCCCGCCUGGGGAGUACGGCCGCAAGGCUAAAACUCAAAGGAAUUGACGGGGACCCGCACAAGCGGCGGAGCAUGCGGAUUAAUUCGAUGCAACGCGAAGAACCUUACCAAGGCUUGACAUAUACGAGAACGCUGCAGAAAUGUAGAACUCUUUGGACACUCGUAAACAGGUGGUGCAUGGUUGUCGUCAGCUCGUGUCGUGAGAUGUUGGGUUAAGUCCCGCAACGAGCGCAACCCUCGUUCUAUGUUGCCAGCACGUAAUGGUGGGAACUCAUGGAAUACUGCCGGGGUCAACUCGGAGGAAGGUAAU